GGAAUUUUUUUCUGAACUUUGGGCUUCUUUUUCAGUGAAGGAAACAAUAUUUUUUGGUAAAUGAAGACAACAGGAGGGUUAAAACCUCUUAAAUUAGGAGCUAUUUUAAUAACAUAUCUGCUUUGUUUUAGGACACUUGACAAUCCUGGUAAAUUAGAGCUUAAAAUACAUUUUAAGAUCUCAAUAUUCUAAAUAUCAUAUUUCAAGAAAUCUUACCAAGACAUUUUUCACUUGUUCUUUUGGCAGAUUAUUUCCCAUUUACUUCAAGGUAAAAGUUCUUUGAAAUAAGUUUUUUUCUUGUUUUCAGAGGAGCAUUUUUCCAGAGUAUUCUGGCAGGAUGUUCAGUUUCACCGUUAGCUUUCACAGUGGAUAUGGAGUUAAUGAUCAGGGCUUCCAGGUGGUCGUAGGUGGAGAGAGACGGCAGAAUGGAAUGAGUCUUCCACCAGUUAGAGCUUCUAUGAUGAUAUGACACUGAUGACUACAACAGUAAAUGGACAAAGAAGUUGUUAGAUAGAAUAAAUAGGAAUCUCAGAUGGGCUAGAAUGAGGAUCGAGUCGAGUAAAUCGAGGAGUAUUUCAUUAUACAGAGGGAAAGUAAAUAAGAAGUUUUCCAUAGAUGUUAGGAAAUUCCUCGCAUUAGGGAGAAGUCAGUGAAGAGGUCAGGAAGGUGGUAUAAUGUGGACCUGAAUGAUGAGGAACAAGUUGGUUUUGUUGGAUGACUGGACAUUCUAACAGUUGGGGAGUGAAAUAGAGGCGGUGAUGGAGUGGUCCUCUCCUAAACUCUGCUUUCCCCGCCUUCUUUUCCCUCCUCCAAUGGGCAGAGAUCCAGGAAGAGGAAGUGUAGAUCAUGUGGGGCGUGGCCUGUUAGUCUCUCUGGGACCAUCUCAGGUAUCAGGUACAUGAGGGAGGAGCUGCUGCUGAAGCUGACAGGAGUUCAGCCUCUGACUCUGGUUUGAUCCCUGAAUCUGUUGUCGUCAACGGGAGACAAACGCUUCAAGGUCAUUGAGAACCUUCAGACCUUCUGAACCACAACCUGAUCCACAGGAUGGAGCCACUCACCUGUCUGACUCACCUGAGGGAGCUGCAGCUGAUACACAACAGCAUCCGGAGGAUCGAGGGUCUGGAGCUGCUGUCUGGUCUGCAGCGCCUCACCUUGUCCCACAACAGGAUCGAGCACGCCCCCUUGUGGCUGGGGACGAAACUGCAGUCGCUGCGCACUGCGUCUGCAACACAACCUCAUCACAUCUCUGUAUGAGGUGUCCAGACUGUGUUCCCUCAGCAGCCUAUCAGAGCUCAGUGUGUCUGGAAACCCCGCCUCCUCGCUGUCUCACUCAUAGAUAUAUACAAACACUAGAUGGCUCAUGAGCGCUGUCAGCCUAUGGGGAGCGACGUCGCCACAUGGCGGCCAUCUUGGGACAGGGCUGCUCGAUCACUCAUAACAUUAAAGUCAAUGGAGCAUGGAUUUUAAAAUCACUGUAGAUUGCUCAAUUUUCAACCGAUUUUAGAACAGCUUGGUUUGUUAUAAACGUCAGAGAUGUACUUGUUUUACUGCUUACAUAAGAAUAAUUAAAACCAUUGAAUUCAUAUAAUAAUGAACACAGAUAUCAGCUUUUUUCAGCAUAAAUGGAUGUAAAUGUAAUUUUAAUAUUUAACAUUGCACUUUUUUUUUUAUUACUAUCAGCUUUCUAAUGCACAGAUAAAAACAAAGCUCAACCAAAAUCAGUGCACAACAAAAAGAGAUGAUGUCUUUUCUUUUCAUGAGCCUGGUGCCUACAUUACCCACAAUGCAUUUCGGCUGCAGGCUAACUAAUCCAGGCAUAGAUGUAUACAAACAAUAAGUCUAAGGUCUCAAUCAAAGUCUCUUAACAAGCAAAUAAAUACAACCACAACCACAAAGAAUGUAAUUUCGCCUAAAGAUUAGGUUCUCAAAAAACGUUGGUCUCAGGAAAACCUAAUAACUGAAAAUCAGAUUGUGAGUAACACCAUCUUCAAUGUGAGUAGCCAGGCAGAAAAGACACACAACUAUGCCGCAUUUUCCAAAACGAAAAGCUGCGAUUUCGGAAUUGAGCCUGAAUCAUAGCCACGUUAAUAAGAUUUGUAAUAAACUAAACCGUUUGUAAAUCAAUCAAGAAUUGAGCGAGUUAUGAGUGUUAAAGUGAGGAAAUCAUCCACCUUACCAUUGACUACAGUACAGUGCGCCAGAGCAGUCCCCUGUCCAAGAUGGCCGCCAAGUGACGACGCCGCCGACUCCGUCUCGAGACAUCUAGUGUUUGUAUAUAUCUAUGGUCUCACUCCCGUCUCUUCCUGCUGUAUCACCUGAGGACGCUGGAUAGGCUGGACGACCUGCCAAUCACCCAGGAGGAGAGAGGACACGCCCCCCCAGCACUUCCACACAGAGGAGCUGCAGCAGGAAGUGGACAACAGCCAAUCAGAGCAGCAGGCCGCAGUAACACAACUCCACCAGCAGGAGGAGACAAACACAACACACAGACAACUGCAGCAGGAGCUACACAGCUGGUCCACACACAGUGACACACAAACACACACUAACACACUAACACACACUAACACACACUAACACACUAACACACACUGACACACUAACACACACUAACACACACUAACACACACUAACACACACUAACACACACUAACACACACAGUGACACACUAACACACUAACACACACUAACACACACUAACACACUAACACACUAACACACACUAACACACAGCUGCUACACUAUUUUCCGAUACUUAGCUCUAUCAGCUGGUAGGGUGAGCGGCAGUGGGAUCGAUGCCUGCAUUCUCCACCAGAGUUUAUCUUCUCCUUUGUCUCUGAGCUUGACAUUUUUACCUCUAUUUCUGUCAUUUUGCAUCUUUUUGUCUCAUUUUUGCACCAUUUUGUGUCACUUUUGCAUCCAGUAGGACUCAUCUCCUUGUUGGUCUCUGACAUAGAGCUGUUAGCAGCUCAUUUAUCUGAGCUGUGUGGAGGUCAUGGAGCUGUUAGCGUCUUCCAACAGUUGGUGUAACGGACCUUCAGCAUGUUCAUCCAUAGUUCCCUCAUAUCUGAAUGAAUCUUUGAUCCUCAGAGCUUCAGUAGGAACCAGCUGGACUCUCUUUAAGGUUCUUGAAGAUGUUCCGCCUCCAUCCAAGGUUCUUCUUCAUUUCUAACUGACUGAUGGGACUUUUAGAUGUUUACAGUCCCUCCAGCUCACACGGCUGAAGGUCCAUCAACAACCAGGACUCACCUGUCUCCAGGUGUGGACGUUGUGACACUGAGUUCUAAUCAACUAAUAAGUGGUUUAUUCCUCCCACACUACUGCUUUCUGUGCAAGUAUUUCAAAUGUUAAAGGUUUAUUCCAUCAAAAUACUACUUCCUGUCUAAAUUGUUAUAGUUUUAAGGUAUUAUUCCAUCAAAAUACUACUUCCUGCCCAAAUAUUUUAAGUUUUAAAGGUUUAUUAUUCCUCACAAAAUACUGCUUUCUGUACAGACACUUAAAGUUUUAAAGGGUUAUUCUUCCCAAAAUACUAUUUUCUGUCCAAGUACUUCAGGGUUUAAAGCUUUGUUCCUCCCAGAAUACGACGUCCUAACUAACAUGUUUUGGGUUUAAGGUUUAUCUGAUGUUAAGCUCCACAUAGUUUAUUUCCAGUGUGGUGGCUCCAUGUUUUCUCCUGAGUAAAUGAAACAUAAACCCUCCAGGAGAAUGCAGGCAUCGAUCUCACUCCCUCUCUCUUGCUCCUGCUGCACUCUGCUGUUAGAGCAAAGUAAGUCCAUCCAGCCAAUCAGUGCAGGACCUCAUGUUCCGUUGGGCGAAUCACGUCCCGAGCCUGUGGGCUUACUUUUGACCGAUCACAUUCCAUCUUCCGGAUCCUUUUUAAACUCUCAGAGGAAAAUGAUAAACGGUCAUCCACAGCUGUCAGGACUAUCUUUUAGCAAGCGACACUGCUGCUGGGGAUUUUUUUGAGGAGGAAGCCGACCAGGAGAUGUUGAUGGUGGCCUCACAGGCUGAGGAACAACUUCCUCAAGAGAAAUGGCACUUAUCAAGCUACAUUUACUCUGAGUGCACUUUAUCAAAGCAAAAAGGGAACUUAAAGGUCCACUGCUGCCUCCAGAGAGCCUGCUCUUACCCCUGUUCCUGCCCUGGCCCCGCCCCCUGCUCCUCCAGCUGUGUGGACUCCUGGCCCGGUGGUCCAUCCCCCUGCAGAGCUUCCUGUCCACUGGAAUGAACACCUCCCAUCAUUCCAGCGAGACUGGAUCAGGAAGACUCUGUUCAGGGCCAACGCUAAAACAGGGAAGGCAGAGCUGAUAUCACAUCCCAACUUCUGCUGUUACCCUCCCCAGCCCCCGACCAUCUUCACUCAGCCUCCUGCCUCUACUGACCUCUUCUUCUGACGCCCUCUGUUCCUCUGGAUGCCCCUGAAGAUGUGCUCCAUCCCACUCGUCUGUGUCCAGCCAGCCUGCAAUAACCACAAGCUGACAGCUGCUGGGCUCUACCGCACUGUGAGCAAGGUCCUGGACAUAGAUGGUGGUAUGACAUGGCCUCUGUGUCUGUGUCCCGCUUCACACAGAGGAACAGGCAACGCAGGGCAGAAGAGGAGGCCAGUGGAGCCCACAAAAGAAAGUAUGUGCGUAAAGUGGCAUUCAACAAGUGCACCAAGUGUGGGCAGCCCAAGACAAGAGUUUGGCCAUAGCCGCUUCGGGAGUGCACUUUUUGCCCCAGUUUCUCAGGUGGCAAAUCUUUAGAGGAGGGGCUGGCAGAACAGCGCCAGCAGAAGAAACCAGGAAACCCCCCCCCCCCCC